GGGCAGAGAGAGAAGGUGCAGAUACAACAUCUCACGCCUCACCUUCAAGGAGAGGAUGCACAUGGAGCUGAGAGAUCUCGGGGCCAUUGAGAUCAUGGUGGGACUGAUCGAGAUGAUGUUCGGGAUUCCUCUCAUCUUCUCCCUGCGAUCGUCGGCAUCCCCUGGGUGACAUCCGUGUGGUACGUGAUCUCAGGAUCGUUGGCAGUUCACUACAUCCAUUCACGGAAUACA